AGCAUAGCGAUUUGGGAUAAGUCCCUUGGAAGAGGGCAGCAUGGAGGGUGAUACUCCCGUCUCUGCCCAGGUUGUCUGUGUGUACGACACGCUUUCUUUGAGUCGAGUUGUUUGGGAAUACAGCUCAAAGUAGGUGGUAAAUUCCAUCUAAAGCUAAAUAUUGGUGCGAGACCGAUAGCGAACAAGUACCGUGAGGGAAAGAUGAAAAGAACUUUGAAAAGAGAGUUAAAGAGUACCUGAAACUGUUGAAAGGGAACCGUAUCGUUUCUAGAGUAUAUCCUAUGCAUAUUUCAUUGGCGGUUGCAAAAUUGCUGGUGCCCUGUGUAUGGGUGUGACAUCAGAGUCAGUUUGAAUUGCGGGAGAUGGGUAGUGAGGAGGUGCGUCACUUUUGUGAAAGUUACAGCUCGCUAUCUAGUAGCCGUGGUUGAGACUGAGGUGCC
rnacentral:rRNA from 2 species